GAAGAAAUUUCAAGAGGUACCCAAAUUACCUCGAGUAGUUACGCUUGAAAUCAAUAUUACGAAUAUUUAUCGUUCGAUCGUUUGUUCGUUAAAUAUUAUUACGUUUCCGCGAAUCAGAACCAAUUAGGUACCCUUCGAAGUGAAUUCAGCAAGGAAUAAAGCACAUUGCGUUACCGACGAAAUUUAGUUACAUAAAAUUUGUC